rnacentral:rRNA from 1 species
UGCCAGCAGCCGCAGUAAUACGGAGGAUGCAAGCGUUAUCCGGAUUCAUUGGGUUUAAAGGGUGCGCAGGCGGGCUUGUAAGUCAGUGGUGAAAUACUGCCGCUCAACGGUAGAACUGCCAUUGAUGCUGCAAGUCUUGAAUAUGGUUGAGGUAGGCGGAAUGUGUCGUGUAGCGGUGAAAUGCAUAGAUAUGACACAGAACGCCAAUUGCGAAGGCAGCUUACUAAGCUACGAUUGACGCUGAGGCACGAAAGCGUGGGGAGCGAACAGGAUUAGAUA